rnacentral:sRNA from 1 species
ACACUGUUGUACAUAUGAGACAUACAUGAGGAAUUUUCUGGAGCUAUUAAUACAGUUCUUGAAUGUUCUGAAUUUUUUAGAGAUCUUUCUCAUGAAAAAACUUUUUCAGAUUGAUAGGUUAUAUGAUUGGAAAAAGAGUCCUGACUCUGAUGUGGCUGCUACUUUAAAGAAGCAGAAAAAGAAUACAAAAGAUGAAUUUGAGGAGCGAGCAAAGGCUAUUAUUGUAGAAUUUGCACAGCAGGGUUUGAAUGCUGCUUUGUUUUAUGAGAAUAAAGAUCCCCGCACUUUUGUGUCUUUGGUACCUACCUCUGCACAUACUGGUGAUGGCAUGGGAAGUCUGAUCUACCUUCUUGUCGAGUUAACUCAGACCAUGUUGAGCAAGAGACUUGCACACUGUGAAGAGCUGAGAGCACAGGUGAUGGAGGUUAAAGCUCUCCCGGGGAUGGGCACCACUAUAGAUGUCAUCUUGAUCAAUGGGCGUUUGAAGGAAGGAGAUACAAUCAUUGUUCCUGGAGUAGAAGGGCCCAUUGUAACUCAGAUUCGAGGCCUCCUGUUACCUCCUCCUAUGAAG